GGAUGAACGCUGGCGGCGUGCCUAAUACAUGCAAGUCGAGCGGUAAGGCGUUUCACUCUGUAUUUAAAUGAGUUGAAUAUAGUGUGAAAGUACACGAGCGGCGGACGGCUGAGUAACGCGUAGGAACGUACCCCAAAGUGAGGGAUAAGCACCGGAAACGGUGUCUAAUACCGCAUGUGAUCUUCGGAUUAAAGCUUUAUGCGCUUUGGGAGCGGCCUGCGUAAGAUUAGUUUGUUGGUGAGGUAAUGGCUCACCAAGACUACGAUCUUUAGCUGGUCUGAGAGGAUGAUCAGCCAGUCUGGGACUGAGACACGGCCCAGACUCCUACGGGAGGCAGCAGUAGGGAAUUUCCACAAUGGACGAAAGUCUGAUGGAGCAACGCCGCGUGCAGGAUGAAGGCCUUCGGGUUGUAAACUGCUUUUAUCUGUGACGAUUAUGACGGUAGCAGAUGAAUAAGGAUCGGCUAACUCCGUG
rnacentral:rRNA from 1 species